rnacentral:lncRNA from 1 species
GUACCCACACCCACCAUGUACAAAAAAAAACUGCCCACUUAUCCACUAACUAAAAAAUCUAUAAAAGGGGGAAAGAUACGAUAAAGAGGGGAAUUUUUUAGAGGUUGUUAAAAAUCAACUGUUUAGGCAAAAAAAAAAACGAGAGAGAAACAAGAUUCGUUCAAAAAAAAGGUAAAGAUAUCCAUUCAAAAAAAAAAAAAAACGAAUUAUAUUUUCUUUCUUCUCCUCCUCACAAAAAUAAUAAUAAUAAUAAUGCUCGUGUCCUCCCUCCAUCCCUACAUCAACG